rnacentral:rRNA from 1 species
GACGAACGCUGGCGGCGUGCUUAACACAUGCAAGUCGAGCGGUAAGGCCCUUUCGGGGGUACGACGAGCGGCGAACGGGUGAGUAACACGUGGGUGACCUGCCCUCAGCUCUGGGAUAAGCCUGGGAAACUGGGUCUAAUACCGGAUAUGACUCCAUGACGCAUGUUGGUGGGGUAGGAAAGCCUUGUGCGGCUGAGGAU